rnacentral:rRNA from 1 species
UACGUAGGGUGCGAGCGUUGUCCGGAAUUAUUGGGCGUAAAGAGCUCGUAGGCGGUUUGUCGCGUCGACUGUGAAAACCCGAGGCUUAACCUCGGGCCUGCAGUCGAUACGGGCAGACUAGAGUUCGGUAGGGGAGACUGGAAUUCCUGGUGUAGCGGUGAAAUGCGCAGAUAUCAGGAGGAACACCGGUGGCGAAGGCGGGUCUCUGGGCCGAUACUGACGCUGAGGAGCGAAAGCGUGGGGAGCGAUCCGG